UUUCCGUAGGUGAACCUGCGGAAGGAUCAUUAUUGUAUAACCGAGAUGCGAGGGCUGUCGCUGACCCGAAAGGUCGUGCACGCCCGAGUGCCCUCACACACAUCCAUCUCACCCCUAUGUGCACCACCGCGUGGGUCCCCCUUUGGCUUGUUCGGAGGGGGGCUUACGUUUUCACACAAACUUUGUAUGCAGUGUAGAAUGUAUUUUCUGUUUUUGCGAUCACGCAAUCAAUACAACUUUCAACAACGGAUCUCUUGGCUCUC
rnacentral:misc_RNA from 1 species